rnacentral:tRNA from 1 species
GAUCCGUUGGUCAAGUGGUUAAGACACCGCCCUUUCACGGCGGUAUCACGGGUUCGAAUCCCGUACGGAUCA